rnacentral:tRNA from 3 species
AAGAUUAAUAUAAUUAGGCUUCUAACCUAUAAUUAAUGAAAAAUUCAUUUAAUCUUU